rnacentral:rRNA from 1 species
CCUACGGGAGGCAGCAGUGGGGAAUUUUGGACAAUGGGGGCAACCCUGAUCCAGCCAUUCCGCGUGAGUGAAGAAGGCCUUCGGGUUGUAAAGCUCUUUCGGCAGGAACGAAACGGUUACGGCCAAUACCCGUGACUACUGACGGUACCUGAAGAAGAAGCACCGGCUAACUACGUGCCAGCAGCCGCGGUAAUACGUAGGGUGCGAGCGUUAAUCGGAAUUACUGGGCGUAAAGCGUGCGCAGGCGGCUUUUUAAGCCAGAUGUGAAAUCCCCGGGCUUAACCUGGGAACUGCAUUUGAAACUGCUCGGCUGGAGUACGGGAGAGGAGAGUGGAAUUCCCGGUGUAGAGGUGAAAUUCGUAGAUAUCGGGAGGAACACCAGUGGCGAAGGCGGCUCUCUGGUCCGAUACUGACGCUGAGACGCGAAAGCGUGGGGAGCAAACAGGAUUAGAUACCCUGGUAGUCCACGCCGUAAACGAUGGGCACUAGGUGUAGGAGGUAUUGACCCCUCCUGUGCCGAAGUUAACGCAUUAAGUGCCCCGCCUGGGGAGUACGGUCGCAAGGCUAAAACUCAAAGGAAUUGACGG